UGCAAUGCUUAGUUGAGCCUUUUCUGCCUG
rnacentral:piRNA from 1 species